CUGGGGGCUAAAGCUGUUGGCUUCCAGGUCCGGGGCACCAAGCACAACGUUUCCUGAAAGUUCUGGGUUUAAGCCAGAAGAGCAAGGCCUUGUCAGUGUGACUGGAAAAGCCUGCGUUUUAUUCCCUUACGAAACUGAAGGAACACUGUAGAAUUAAGAAAAGAAAAUCCCCUUCAAUCUCUGAAAGUUUCACUCACUAGCGCAUAUUAUUUCUCUUAUGAAGAAUACGGCGAAUAAUGCCGACGUUGGGAUAUAAUUUAACUUACCCCACCAUGAUGCACUGAAGGUCCCGUGCGCACUGAAAAUUUCAGCAAUGCACCAAUCUACGUGGCGUGGGCACCGCCCAAAUUCCCCACAGCACCAAGUAUAUAACGCGCUGCACAGCAGCGUUCGUCAGAGCAGCUCACACAGGCUAUGCGUCGCCUUAUUGGCUAAGGUGAAGCUGCGAGCGGCGCCCAAUCAAUACUCCUGCUGGACCCUAGUAACAAUUACCUAAGUCACAGGGCACAUCGGACUCAAUAAGCCAAAGGUGUGCAAAACCCAACGAUCUGCUCUAUAAUAUAAUACAAAAUCUCACGCAAGAAACACAAAGUGAUGAUCAAGAGAAUAGAGCGAGUCUAACUUCUGACUCAAGAAUUUUUUCAUAGAUUUUCAUAGAUUCUUCCUAGAAUCUAUGAAAAACGGGUGAUGCAAAGCUACAAUGCAGAGCUAAGAAAAACCCUUGCUGCCAACUUCGACGAGCAACAAGGCCCCUCAUACGUCCGGUCCUAAAGAGAGGGGGUUAGAGGAACCACCGGCAGGCGUAACAAUGAACAGAGCAGCUAAUCGCAUUCACAAUGCAAUGAAGAAGCUCUAGUUUGCCAGUGAACCGCCAAAUGUGCAAAACUGGCAAUGAAUGUAUGCGACAAUGGACUAAAGGUCCAUCCAAUAAUCUUCUCAAUAAAAGCAAAGCUCCUAAGAGACGAGGAUAACAUACAUUAGAAAUGGUUGGAGAACAGGAUAUUAAAGACGCCGGUUGAAAAGACUCCAUCCAUUUAAUUUCCUUUCCCUUCCAUUUUUUUUUGCCACCUGCCACUUGACCACACCCAUCUCACCUGUUUGGGGAGGGGCGGAGCCUAUCAAUUGUUUGUCCAUACUUUGGCUCUUGCUUGGCACUCACCACCAGCACGCUCAUGCAUCCUGUGUGCAUCUUCAAUUAACCACACAAAGAUGAGGGAAAUUGAUGCAAAAUCAAGAAUCAAAUAAACCUGAAGAAUAAGAAAAUAAACCAAAUUGUGUUGCAUCAAA
ensembl:lncRNA